UAUGAGUAGCGAAAGAGGGGUGAGAAUCCCCUCCACCGAAUGCCUAAGGUUUCCUGAGGAAGGCUCGUCCGCUCAGGGUUAGUCGGGACCUAAGCCGAGGCCGAAAGGCGUAGGCGAUGGACAACAGGUUGAUAUUCCUGUACCACCUCCUCACCAUUUGAGCAAUGGGGGGACGCAGGAGGAUAGGGUAAGCGCGGUAUUGGAUAUCCGCGUCCAAGCAGUUAGGCUGGGAAAUAGGCAAAUCCGUUUCCCAUAAGGCUGAGCUGUGAUGGCGAGCGAAAUAUAGUAGCGAAGUUCCUGAUUCCACACUGCCAAGAAAAGCCUCUAGCGAGGUGAGAGGUGCCCAUACCGCAAACCGACACAGGUAGGCGAGGAGAGAAUCCUAAGGUGAUCGAGAGAACUCUCGUUAAGGAACUCGGCAAAAUGACCCCGUAACUUCGGGAGAAGGGGUGCUCUGUUAGGGUGCAAGCCCGAGAGAGCCGCAGUGAAUAGGCCCAGGCGACUGUUUAGCAAAAACACAGGUCUCUGCGAAGCCGUAAGGCGAAGUAUAGGGGCUGACGCCUGCCCGGUGCUGGAAGGUUAAGAGGAGCGCUUAGCGUAAGCGAAGGUGCGAAUUGAAGCCCCAGUAAACGGCGGCCGUAACGAUAACGGUCCUAAGGUAGCGAAAUUCCUUGUCGGGUAAGUUCCGACCCGCACGAAAGGCGCAACGAUCUGGGCACUGUCUCAACGAGAGACUCGGUGAAAUUAUAGUACCUGUGAAGAUGCAGGUUACCCGCGACAGGACGGAAAGACCCCGUGGAGCUUUACUGCAGCCUGAUAUUGAAUGUUGGUACAGCUUGUACAGGAUAGGUAGGAGCCUUGGAAACCGGAGCGCCAGCUUUGGUGGAGGCAUCGGUGGGAUACUACCCUGGCUGUAUUGACCUUCUAACCCGCCGCCCUUAUCGGGCGGGGAGACAGUGUCAGGUGGGCAGUUUGACUGGGGCGGUCGCCUCCUAAAAGGUAACGGAGGCGCCCAAAGGUUCCCUCAGAAUGGUUGGAAAUCAUUCGCAGAGUGUAAAGGCACAAGGGAGCUUGACUGCGAGACCUACAAGUCGAGCAGGGACGAAAGUCGGGCUUAGUGAUCCGGUGGUUCCGCAUGGAAGGGCCAUCGCUCAACGGAUAAAAGCUACCCCGGGGAUAACAGGCUUAUCUCCCCCAAGAGUCCACAUCGACGGGGAGGUUUGGCACCUCGAUGUCGGCUCAUCGCAUCCUGGGGCUGUAGUCGGUCCCAAGGGUUGGGCUGUUCGCCCAUUAAAGCGGUACGCGAGCUGGGUUCGGAACGUCGUGAGACAGUUCGGUCCCUAUCCGUCGCGGGCGCAGGAAAUUUGAGAGGAGCUGUCCUUAGUACGAGAGGACCGGGAUGGACGCACCGCUGGUGUACCAGUUGUUCUGCCAAGGGCAUCGCUGGGUAGCUAUGUGCGGACGGGAUAAGUGCUGAAAGCAUCUAAGCAUGAAGCCCCCCUCAAGAUGAGAUUUCCCAUUCCGCGAGGAAGUAAGAUCCCUGAAAGAUGAUCAGGUUGAUAGGUCUGAGGUGGAAGUGUGGCGACACAUGGAGCUGACAGAUACUAAUCGAUCGAGGACUUAAUC
rnacentral:rRNA from 1 species